GAUCUAACAAUUGUCAAUAACAAUUGUGUUAAUUGUCAAGCUAUUAAACCAAUUUGAUUGUUAUAAUUAGUUAAGUAUGUUCUUUUGUAGACCUUUCAAUGAAGUUGCUACAGUAUCUAUGUGAAAGACAAGUGUAAAUAAUGUGAAAUCAACAUGGCAACAUUAUGUUAACCUACAGUACAGUGCUGUUAUGGAAUGCAAAUGAAACUGCAGCACUAUUGUUUGGUAAAGCAUGUACAUGUUUGCGAAAUGAGCAUCUUUAGAUCCAAUUUGGUGUAUCACAUGAAAAGAGGAUUGUAAACAAAGGACAAGUAACUUGUGCAGACAGAUAUAAGGCAGCAUGAAUAGUUAGUACUUGGUGCAUCUGCUGAUCAAUGUGUUUGUCAAAGAGGACAUUAACAAUGAUGAGGCUGUAUAUCACCAGGAUUACUGCUGAAUGAUGGAAGGUUUACAGCUAAACAAUCUUAUGAUUGGAAUCAAUAUCCAGGGACAGCUCCCCUUACAGGGUCCAAGUGUUGUGACCUUGUUAUAUGUUGGGAUGAAUAUUAAAAACACAAAGAAAAUAACACAAAAGGGACACUGAUUGAAAUAAACAAUUGUAAUACAGAAUUCCCUGAAAGUGACAUUUUAUCUUUAAUGUGCUAAGUUUAUAAUCAUCUUUGUCUUAACUGCUCUUGUCUGAAUAGUACCCUGUGUCUGUUAAAACAUAUUAUUUUUCAAGAUUGUUUUCUAGUAGAUAUAUAAAUAAAUUCUCAAUAGGUAUCAUAAAAAAAAUAAUAUGAAUUAGAAAAAGUUGUAACAUUUCAUUUCAAUGUCAUAAUUUACUGUCCUAUAUUUAUUUAUUGUCAUACUGGAAUGAUAAUAAAUGACUUUGUAACAUUCCAACACUUUCUGUUCUGUAGCCAGCCAUACUAGGACCCUGCCUAUUACCGGACAAAAUAUGUUUUUUCGCCGUAUUUUUCUUUUAAAUAAUAAAAAAGAAUGGAAUUUUACCCAAAUAAUUUUGGGUUUUUAUAACACGUAAACAUUACUUAAUCGGACAUAAAAUUAAAAAUUUGACCGUAGAAAUGUGUCUUUAAAGUAGGGCAUUAUAAGAGAAAAAAUCGUGUAGACAGCUCAAUUUACCGCGGACAUUGUGUUUCAAAAUAUUUUGAAGUCGUGAAUUUAAAUUUGUCUGUAAAUAAUCAGCAUGGAAACUACGACAAGGUUAAGAUAUUUGAAGAACC